UACGUAGGGUGCAAGCGUUGUCCGGAAUUAUUGGGCGUAAAGAGCUCGUAGGCGGUCUGUCACGUCGGCUGUGAAAUCCCCGAGGCUCAACCUCGGGUCUGCAGUCGAUACGGGCAAACUAGAGUAUUGCAGGGGAGACUGGAAUUCCUGGUGUAGCAGUGAAAUGCGUAGAUAUCAGGAGGAAUACCGAUGGCGAAGGCAGGUCUCUGGGCUAGAACUGACGCUCAUGCACGAAAGCGUGGGGGAGCAAACAAGG
rnacentral:rRNA from 1 species